GAGAAGAAACUAAAAAAUUACUGAAUCACCUUUUUGAAGCGAGGGACUUUCCUCAGCCAGUCUUGGGAGUGCUGCUUACAGUGACAUAAACAUUUUGUUCAGCAGCCAUGAGCAACCUUCCCUAGCCAGCUGGGUCUCCUGAAGUGGCACAUGGGGAGGCCCCUGUGGGAGCCACAGUAGCCUCCCAGCACCUGUGAGUGGGACCCCACUCUACCUCCUACUUUGCUUUCCACUUAUACUUCUGGUUCCUCUGAAAAGCCAGAGGCCUCACAAUUAAUUAUUGUAGCAGUUGCUCCUUUUGCAAAGAUAUCUCUGAUUCCUUCCAUUUCUGCUACCCAUAGCCAGUCUCCCUGAGUCUUGGAUGACACCAGACAUCCAGUAAAAAGAGCUCUCUUCCAAACAGUAAUCUUCAGAUGCAGGAGGUGGUGGCCACCACUGGCAGUGUCCCCACAGACAGAACCACUAUAUCACAAAGGGAAUUAUGUAACCAUACAAAGAUUAACCUCCCCCUUCUAGUCACAAUUCACCAGUCCCUCUAACAACUGGCUGGGGAUCUUGGGGGUCUAAAGGCUGCAUCCCAAGGGAAUGGUGUGGUUUUGCUUCCCUGAAAGUGACAAGAGGAAUGUUUUCUCUUUAUCUACCUCAAGAGGUGCCUACCAGGCAAGGCCUCAGUGGUUCAGGACAUUUCAGGCAAAGAAGAGGCUGGAGCCAGACGGCAGUCAUCUUUGGGGAAGAUGGGGAACUACAGGGCUCGCUCCUAAGGCAGCUAUCCAAUAUAAAGUACCCAAUGGAGCCUGGCAAAGAGAGGCUUAAUUCAGGAAGGGAUGGUUAUACCACAGUCUAGCUCUGUCUACCUGUGUUUUCCUCUCCUGCUUGGCUAUCCUUCUGGACCCUUCUUUGCAGACAUCCUAUCUGAGACACCAGACAAUUCACUCCUCCUCCUGCUUAUCCCUUGGACAUUAAAGGCAACUAAGAAGAAUUAAAGGCAGUUGGUCAGCUAUGUGCCACACUCAGGUCCUCAAGGGUCAGGAAACAUCAGCCUAGUCCAACACUGUUCCUGCACCUCCAGGUAUCUCUGCACCUCUCUGGCCAAGCCCAUGACCAAGGUAGCACCUAGUUUAGUGUGGCUCUUGUCUUCUCCAAGGUGAACCCACUCUUAGUAGCAUAUAGCUGCCUCCUGGCCUGGCUCUCUCUUGGCCUCGAGCAAAUACAUGCCUAGCAGGCCAGACCUGGAUAUCCACAGCUGGAGACAAUUCCCAGACCCAAUUUACCAGAGAGUAAUAGCCUGGAGUCUGAACCUGAAAUGAGAUCAGAGCGUCUACACUCCAGCACCCCAGAGACUGGAGCUAGGAAGGAAGGAGCUCUAAAAUGAAGCUGCCAGGGGGCUCAGGGCUCAAGCCCACUCCUGAUAAGCUACGUAAAAUUCACAUCAAUGUCAGGCUCUUAGACUAAAUUUUGCACUGGUCAUGUCUGUCACAGUGCUGCAUACUGUGGCUACCACAUGGCAUUAAAAAAUUUCAAACGGUAAGAAGAGAAUGGAAUCAACAGUUUCUGAGUGCCUACUAAGUCAAGAACUUUGCAUGUUAUCCUUACCAAUACCAAUACCUUAGGUAUUAUUAUAAAGGGUAUACUUAUCUUGCCAAUAGAACUAGAGACUCGGAAAAAUCUAAGAAUCCUCUGUUCCUCCACUACUAUACUACCUGACCACAAAGUCUUAAAUGAUCUUGGAAAGACAAAGAAAAACUAGAGUGUAAAGCACUAUUUACAGGCUCUCAGCACCUUAACUCACUAAGCAGACAAUACUAGUUUAAAUACUGCAUUCCCUUAUUCACUACUGGUAGAGCCAACUUCUGCCAAACACAAUCUAAAGAAAUAUAUCAAAAGUCAUAAAGAUGCUCCGGACCUUUGCCCUUGUCAUUGCAUCCCCAAGAUCAUAUCUUCAGGAAAACAGUUCAACAGAGAUUCACUAGUGGUGGGAAAAAAAAAAAAAAAGGAUGAUCUAAAUGUCUAAUAUCCAAAGAAUGGUUUGAGAAAUCCCAGAACCUUCUAAUCAUGUAAUGUUUACUGCAUAGCCAUUUUAAAUGAUCAUUUUAAAGACCAAGAGGGAAAAAAACAAAGCAUCUGUGAUAAAAUAAAGAUUGAAAACAAAACAUCAUAAAUGCUAUUGGUACAACUUGUAGAAGUAUGGAGAUGUGUAUACACAAAAAGGAAUGUAGCUGUUUUAGGGUGGCAAGAUUAUGGAAAUCUUCCAUAAUAUUAAGUAGUUUCAUUAUUAUUACAUGUAAAUUGUCUUUGUGGUAUUGUUUAGUUCCUUUUCAACCCAAGAGAAAGAGAGAGAAAAAAAGAUAGACACACUUAACCCAGCACUACGAAAAGGCCCAGGAAGACCAGGGCUGGGAUGUUAAAGCAGAAAUUGAGAAGCGUCCUACAUACCCGGAAGGAGGAGGCCAGGCAGGGCCCUGGGGAAGGGAAGCCCUCUAGGUAUGAAGAGGGUUGUCAUUAGUCUGAUGCUAAUUACAGAAGUCUCACUAGCUUAUUAAUUUUUUUUGACUGACUCUGAAUGAAGACUGAAUCCCUUCAGUAAGCCAACUUGGGUUCAGAGGCACAUUUCCUGUGUGGCCAUCCUCAUUCUUCUAAAAAAUCUAGCCUUUUCUUUUUUUUUAAGGGUAACAGUAAAGUAAAAUUUAGUAACAGAAACGCACACCCUGGAGAAAUUAAGAUUCCUGCCUUAAAUGUAGAAAUUCAAGCCAUUUCAGAAAAUCAAAGGGGUUUGAAUAAGCAACUGAACUACAGUGUUUUCUGGACUGGGAAAAAUAAACACGAGUAUAAAAUGUUUAGCUCAGUAUUAAAGGCCCCCUUGAUCAGGUUCCAGCCCAUCUUUCUGAUAUUACCUCAUAACUGUCCUGCCAGAUACCCAAUGCUCCAGCCAAACUGAACCACCAAGUAGUCCCCAAAAUAGUUUCUUCACUUUCCAACCUCCAUGACUCUUUUCAAGCUGUUGUGCACACUUAAAAUUUCUGUCUUACAACUGCUUGCUCAAGUCUGACCCAUCCUCCAAAGCACAGAUCAGAGCCUUGUCAUUUUCUUUUUUUGUUGUUUUUUUUGUUUUUGUUUUUGAGACAGAGUCUUGCUCUGCCCCCACCCCCCUCCAGGCUGGAGUGCAGUGGUGUGAUCUCAGCUCACUGCAACCUCUGCCUCCUGAGUUCAAGCAAUUCUCCUGCCUCAGCCUCCCAAGUAGCUGGGACUACAGGUGUGUGCCACCACGCCCAGCUAAUUUUUGUAUUUUUAGUAGAGAC
rnacentral:lncRNA from 1 species